CUUUUAAUGUACCCCAGACGAAAACCUGGAAAUGCGUCCCCGUCCCCAUCCGUGGUUAGCUUGGCGCCGACAGCUUCCUCGUCUCCUCCUUCCACGCGCCCAACACCGAGGAGGACGGCAACAAGGUCUAGGCCUUCCUCGCGGAGAUGGAGAGCACCAUCAGGGACCACCCGCUCUGGGCCAACGCCACCGACUAGGAGAUCGACCACGCGCUUGAGGGCCUGGAGAAGUAUGUCAUGACCAAAUUGUUCGACCGCACGUUUGGGACUUCCACUGAGGAUGCCGUUUCCGACAUGGACAUCUUAGAGAAGAUUGGUCUCUUGCAGCAGUUUGUUAAGCCUCAUCACUUGGAUAUACCCAAGGUCCUGCAUAACGAGGCAUCGUGGCUGCUUGCAGUGAAAGAGCUGCAGAAGAUUAAUUCCUUUAAAGCACCACGUGAGAAGCUUCUGUGCAUCAUGAGCUGUUGUCAAGUCAUCAAUAACAGCUGUGAGUUGAGAAUUACACAUAGGAAGGUGGUAUCUUGUUCCUGAUAGCCUUGGCUCACUAGAGUUUUGUAGCAUUGUGGUGCCUUGCAUUACUUGUACUUAGGUUGGGGGUCCUUUAUUCACUAGGAUGGAUCUUCUGAAAUUAGUGCUGAAGGAACUGAAAAUUGGCACACAUGACAUAUUGCCUUCUAACUGGUACAAUCUGCCACCAGAUGUCUCACAGUUUUGGUGCCGAUCGGCUUCCUGCAAUGGAGAAUGUGAAAAUCGAACCUGGAAUGUAGGGCAGAAAACCACUACUGAGGCAGGUGGGGAUAAAGAUGGAGUCACAUAGGCUGGGAGUAUGUGUUGGAUCCCAAUGUUCUGUAGUUAGUGUUGAGGCUUGAGGUUUUAGAGCUGUAGUUUUGGGGAAAAUGUGAGUUGUGACACUGAUUUUUAACAACUGAUGUGCUGCUCCAGUGCUCCGGGCAAAUUCAGUCGGGCGUUAUGCUAAUGAAGAUUAUGUCAAAGGAAAAUAUGACCAAGGGUGAAAGGAGAUUUAUGUAGUUCCCUUUUAGUUACAUAUUCGAUUUUAUUUUAAACAGGUACGGAUGAGGGAUAUCCAUGGUUAAGUUUGAUGCUUCAGGACCAAUAUCGUUGCGUGUCGAUGCUGGUGGUAUCUACAUUUUCAUAGUUACAGAACAGGCUUCUGAUUUGUUGUUUCUGCAGUAGAUGCUACUAUAGUCGAUCAUGAUGAUUCAAAAUGUUCUUUUCACUCAUCCGAUUUUAUUUUCCAAUUUGGUUAGUAAACACAUGGUGUAGUUUUAGUGCUUGUAGUGUCACAUGAACCAACUUGUAUGAUGGUUACUAUCGCUCAAAAAACUACAGCACUGUAUGACAUUCCUAUGUGGUAAAUCCUAGGAUAGUGUAGUGUCUUACAUCAUGUAAACUGUUAUUUACGAAACUAUGUAAUACAUAACUGGCUAAAGAACUACUAACUAAACAUACAUGUGUAGUUGCAAAAAUACAGAACUGCCCAGGAAACAAAUAUAUAUUGGGAUGGAAAAAUCAGAUAGAUAAAUUUGAAAAAACUAGCUGAAAACACCAUGCAGCAGCUGUUGUUGCAUAAUGCAUUAGUCUUGUUUUUCCCCCUCUCCAAUGCAUAAUGUAUAAGUCCUGAUAUCAGAUUUGCUUCUUCCUUUAGACAUAUGAGGUCAGGCUUGCUUGUAUAGUUAAACAAUUACCUUAUGAGAAAAGUAUAGAGAACUGAAACUCAUAGCAGUAGCACUGGCAUUGGCACACUUUAAUCACUUCACAGUUCACAAUGUUUAUUUUUGCUUUGAAGGUGGUCUGUUUUUUUGCCAAGCGUGCAUGCAUGCGCCUUGUUAGUUGUGGUUCUAGGCAGGCAGGCGGACAAUGCGUUCUGCAAGAAAUUCAUCUUCUUUUGAUCUGCAUGCAGACUGAAACAGUCCUUUGCUUGCGCCGAAAUUCUUCCAGGAUCCUUGCCCGGAAGUCAGCUCAGAGGUCGCGAGUGAGGAAGUUGCAGUACAUCUCCGAGCUCGAGCGCAGCGUCACAACACUGCAGAAAUGGUAUGAUACAACUGGAGUCCACCUUCACCAUAGGCAGGCAACAAUUAUCCAUGCUGAUGAUCUGCCAUAUUCUUCAAAGUCGUUUGAAAGGGCGAUGUUUUCCCAACCUGUGUCUGAUUGAAUUCUACACCAGUUCUUGGAAGAGAAAGCCUCACCAAGUCAUCAUCUCCAGGAACGAUGUUAGCGAAAGUCAAUUUAAUCUGGUGCUGAACAUUGAGUUGCAACAAAUCAUCGAUAGAGACUGAGUCACCGCAGCUAGAAACCACUGUCUCAAGGUGCUGAACAUUGAGUUGCAACAAAUCAUCGAUGGAGACCGAGUCACCGCAGCCAGAAACCAUUGUCUCAAUUUGAGGAGAUUUUCCAUCUAUGUUUGUUAGAAGGCAUAAUGCUAUUUAUCUCUUGUAUUCGAACAUUUGGCAAUUAAGAAAUAGAAGAUUACUUCCCCAAUAUCCCUUCUUCCUAAUCUCACCUUUCACGGCUUCUAUGGAACAAUCACUUACUAUUACUGACUGACAUGUCCACUCCUCAUAUGUGAGAUAUUGGGGUUGAUAUAUAUGUUGUUCGUUUCCAUGUACUUGUUAUGCACUAACAUUUAUCGAAUAAUUUGUACACUGUCGCAACACACGGACACUCACCUAGUGAAACAUAUAGUUGUCUUAAUGUACAGUAUUAUUUGUUGUUUCAUAGUCUUUAUAAGACAAUUAAAUGCUAGAUAUGUAUAAGAGUAUGAAUUGUGAGCCACCACUUAGAUGGUUCAGGUUUUAA